AAAAUCAGAAAGAAAAAUUGAUACCAAAGAGGGCCGGUGCGCUCUCUCUCUCUCUCUCUCUCUCUCUUUCUCUGUCUGUGUUGCGAUGACGGUUGCGGCUUCAACCCCUUCGAGAGCUGAAACCCUCGCUCUCUUCCGUUCUCUGCUACGAAUCGCUCGAGACUUCUCUGAUUACAACAUCAGAGAAUACACCAAGCGCAGGACUAUUGAUGGGUUUCGUCAGAACCGCGACCUUAAGGAUCCUUCGGCGAUUUGUUCGUCGUUCUCAGAUGGGAAAUCUCAGCUAGAAGUAGCGAAAAGACAGGCCAUCGUCUACUCAUUAUACGCUCCCAAAGUUAAAAGCGUCAUGGAGUUGGAGAAGAUAUGACUUUCUACUGGUCCACAGACCCUAUCUGCCAAAUGGCAGAUCAGGUGGAGCAGGGCCCAUAUAUGACAACUGGGCAAUACAUGUGUGUCCACCUCCAUUCAACUGUUCAGAUCUGUCCAGCUGGUAUGCCAAGCGGUAGAGAAAUAAAGGUGUAGGAACUGCACUCGCCAUCUAUAUUUCCAGACGCUUUAUUUUCAUACCUAUAGGAUGCUAAAAAAGUGGUAAGCAUGGUUGAUGUGCCAUAUGCUGGUGAGCUUUAGAAAGGUCAUGUUUUCUGCUGGAAAAAUUGUUAACAGAACUUGGGAGGAUUCUACCAACAGAUUAAUUGCUUGUGUGUGUAUGUGUGUAUUUAUUUUCUUCUUUUCAUGUUGGUGAAUCUGUGUCUAGGUGGGCUGUGGUUCGUGGGGAUAAUGGUAGUGAUUCUGAUAAAGAUUCUAGGGAAUGUUAUCAUUUUUUCUUGGU